UACGGAGGGUGCAAGCGUUAUCCGGAUUCACUGGGUUUAAAGGGUGCGUAGGUGGGUUGGUAAGUCAGUGGUGAAAUCUCCGUGCUUAACAUGGAAACUGCCAUUGAUACUACUGGUCUUGAAUUUUCUGGAGGUAAGCGGAAUAUGUCAUGUAGCGGUGAAAUGCUUAGAUAUGACAUAGAACACCAAUUGCGAAGGCA
rnacentral:rRNA from 1 species